rnacentral:rRNA from 1 species
CAGUCGCCGCGGUAAUACGAAGGGGGCUAGCGUUGCUCGGAAUUACUGGGCGUAAAGGGCGCGUAGGCGGACAGUUCAGUCGGGGGUGAAAGCCCGGGGCUCAACCUCGGAAUUGCCUUCGAUACUGGCUGUCUUGAGUAUGAGAGAGGUGUGUGGAACUCCGAGUGUAGAGGUGAAAUUCGUAGAUAUUCGGAAGAACACCAGUGGCGAAGGCGACACACUGGCUCAUUACUGACGCUGAGGCGCGAAAGCGUGGGGAGCAAACAGGAUUAGAUACCCGUGUAGUCCCUGUCUCUUAUAA